rnacentral:rRNA from 1 species
AAUGAACGCUGGCGGCGUGCUUAACACAUGCAAGUCGAACGAGAAAGCAUCUUCGGAUGUGAGUAGAGUGGCGCACGGGUGAGUAACACGUAGGUAACCUGCCCCUUGAUGGAGGAUAACCAGGAGAAAUUCUGGCUAAUACUGCAUAAGUUGGUAACAAGAAAGGAUGCUUCGGCAUUCGUCGAGGGAUGGGCCUGCGGAACAUUAGCUUGAUGGUGGGGUAAUGGCCUACCAUGGCUACGAUGUUUAACUGGUCUGAGAGGAUGAUCAGUCACACUGGAACUGAGACACGGUCCAGACUCCUACGGGAGGCAGCAGUGGGGAAUAUUGCGCAAUGGGGGAAACCCUGACGCAGCAACGCCGCGUGAGUGAGGAAGGCCCUAGGGUCGUAAAGCUCUGUCAGAUGGGAAGAACUGCCAUUGGUCUAAUAGGCCUUUGGUUUGACGGUACCAUCAAAGGAAGCACCGGCUAACUUCG